GAAAGGGUGCAUCAUAUUUGCACCUGGUGUGAUUCGGCAAAGUCUGACACACCCAGUUAAA
ncrna:unclassified sequences S4-Clostridia ribosomal protein leader